UAUCAAGGGAAAUGAAAGGGUGUGGUCAGUUGAAGAAAGGCAAUUAUUUGAAAUUGGUAUAGUACCAGGGCACAGAGAUGAAGAGUAUGUGGUGAAGAAUAAAAAUUGAGACAAGAAAGUCUGAAUUCCAGGCAGGCACUAUGGUCUGUUAUUCUGUUCAAGGAGUUCCACCAUAUACCUUUUGUCCAAAAGGAUCAUUGGAACCUGCUGGAGAUGGUUUUUUCACAAUCCUCAUUUCAUUUUCUGUUAGUCUUUGAGAAAAGUGAAUAUAUAGCAAUUUAGAAAAUUGAGUAACACAUUCAGAAAUGACAACUCUGUACUUGGUUAUGCCAAGAGGAUUCUCCAGAUAAUCUCCAAGAUGUAAAGACUUAAGAUGUCAUCAAAAAACAAGGACUGGACCAGGAACGGUGGCUCAUACCUGUGGCUCCCAGCACUUUGGGAGGCCAAGGCAGGCAGAUCAUGAGGUCAAAAAUGGAGACCAUCCUGGCCAACAUGGUGAAACCCUGUCUCUACUAAAAAUACAAAAAUUAGCUGGGCAUGGUGGCACAUGCCUGUAGUCCCAGCUACUCGGGAGGCUGAGGCAAGAGAAUUGCCUGAACUUGGGAGCUGGAGGUUGCAGUGAAUGGAGAUCACACCACUGCACUCUGGCCUGGGCAACAGAGUGAGACUCUGUCACAGACAAACAAAAAACCACAAGGACUGGCUUUGAAUAUCCUGUUGUUUUGUUUCAAAAUAUGACAUUUUCAUUCAUAUUUCUUGGUUUUCUGGGGAUCUUACAUGAUUUUCACAGGAAUUCUCACUGUGAGAAUUCCUUUUCAGACAACUAAAUCUCUUUGUUAUUGUUUAUUGUUUACAUGUUAAAUAAUAUCAGUUUAUUGUGGCUUAUUUCCUGGAUACACUUUCAUUAGACAAAUAAUGAAUGGGUUUUUAAUUUCUCUUUGACAUUCUUUCCUGUGGCCAGGUAAAUGAUGCUGGACCACCAAGACAUGGACAGCCAGUUUGGGAGAAUCUAAUUUCUUCAUUAUUUUUUCUUAAUACUAUUUAUUUCAUAGAAUCUGAUAAUGGAAUAUACUUUUUGGCAUGACCUAUAUACCAUUUAUAGGUUUGUACAAAAGAGCAGUUUUUGCCAUUGAAAGUAAUGGCAUAUUACUUUUGCCAUUGAAAGUAAUAGCAAAAACCGCAAUUACUUUAUCCUGGUGUAUCUUUAUGCUGAAUAAGUUUCAUGGUUAAAAGUAUUGAAGCUAAUCAAAUUCUGGUUCUACCCUUUACCAGCCAUGAGAACUUAGGAAUGCCUUUUUAGCUUUUCUGAACUUCGGUUUUCUCAUCUUCAAGAUGAUUGUAAUGACCAAAUUUACAUCACAGAGUUUUCCUGAGUGUUAAAUGAAAUAUAACCUUUUAAAUCCUUACCACAGAAUCUGGAAUAUAUAAACGACAAAUAGUAGCAACUAUUUGUGAGCCUUUAUUUACAUAUUUACAAAAUUUAUAUGAGGUAGAUGACAUUAACUCUCUUUUAUCUAUAAGGAAAUAGGCUAAGAAAGGUUAAAUAAUUUUGACAUCACACAGCAUGUUAAUCCAAACUAUUAAACCAAUCAGAGGUACUGUCUUUCCUCUACAUUAUUCAGAAAAUACCCUUUCCUAUGCAAUACUGUAGUUGGGUACCUCUAGCGUCCAGCAGUAUCUUUGGGCCUGAAUGCCACCUAUUCCUCUCAUACCUAUUCUAUUGUUUAUUUCCUGGAUGUAAGAGCUAAUGUUUAUUAAUCAAUUAGUUACAGACCUGUGGAUUUAUAUACAUAAUUCUGAUUUUAGCUAUUUCAUAUCUAAAGUGUAUUGAAUAAAAAUGUGAAUUUCACUUCU